rnacentral:rRNA from 1 species
GACGAACGCUGGCGGCGUGCUUAACACAUGCAAGUCGAACGGAAAGGCCCUGCUUGCCGGGUACUCGAGUGGCGAACGGGUGAGUAACACGUGGGUGAUCUGCCCUGCACUUCGGGAUAAGCCUGGGAAACUGGGUCUAAUACCGGAUAGGAGCCAUUUUUAGUGUGAUGGUUGGAAAGUUUUUUCGGUGUAGGAUGAGCUCGCGGCCUAUCAGCUUGUUGGUGGGGUAAUGGCCUACCAAGGCGGCGACGGGUAGCCGGCCUGAGAGGGUGGACGGCCACAUUGGGACUGAGAUACGGCCCAGACUCCUACGGGAGGCAGCAGUGGGGAAUAUUGCACAAUGGGCGCAAGCCUGAUGCAGCGACGCCGCGUGGGGGAUGACGGCCUUCGGGUUGUAAAAUCCUUUCGCUAGGGACGAAGCUUUUUGUGACGGUACCUAGAGAAGAAGCACCGGCUAACUACGUG